UCGAGAAUUUUUCUCAAUGGGCGCAAGCCUGAAGGAGCGACGCCGCGUGUGGGAUGAAGGGUUUCGAUCCGUAAACCACUGUCAUUUGUGAACAAUGGUUAUCCGUGAAUAACGGAUGACUUGAUAGUAAUGAAAGAGGAAGGGACGGCUAACUCUGUGCCAGCAGCCGCGGUAAUACAGAGGUCCCGAGCGUUGUUCGGAUUCACUGGGCGUAAAGGGUGCGUAGGUGGCAUGGUAAGUUUGAUGUGAAAGCUCAGGGCUCAACCCUGAAAUGGCAUUGAAUACUACUGUGCUGGAGGUUUGGAGGGGGGACUGGAAUUCUUGGUGUAGCAGUGAAAUGCGUAGAUAUCAAGAGGAACACCAGUGGCGAAGGCGAGUCCCUGGACAACACCUGACACUGAGGCACGAAAGCCGGGGGAGCAAACAGG
rnacentral:rRNA from 1 species